UACGUAGGGGGCGAGCGUUAUCCGGAUUCACUGGGUGUAAAGGGAGCGUAGACGGCCAAGCAAGCCAGGGGUGAAAGCCCGGGGCCCAACCCCGGGACUGCCCUUGGAACUGCAUGGCUGGAGUGCGGGAGGGGCAGGCGGAAUUCCUGGUGUAGCGGUGAAAUGCGUAGAUAUCAGGAGGAACACCGGCGGCGAAGGCAGCGUACCGGCAUCCAACUGACGCUGAGGCACGAAAGCGUGGGGAUCAAACAGG
rnacentral:rRNA from 1 species